rnacentral:lncRNA from 10 species
ACAGUUUCACUUUACUAUCAGAGUUCUGCUUUCCUGGCUUAAAAUUUACCAAAUAUUUGUAGAUUAUUUCCUCUAAUGGUGCAUUGAAUUAUGAGCCAUGUCAUAUAAAUACUGUUUGAAAUAUAUGUCCUUCUUUCUCUGCAUUUCUUUGUAUAUCCCAGUUAUUUAAAGCACAGACACAUAGCACAAACUAUGGCAUUUGAUAUCUCAAGUAGAAAUUUUGUUAUAGGUUAAUAUAUCUAAAAUAUAUAAAGGAAUAAUAAUUCUUGAAAUGUGUAUCAGCUUUAGAUCUAGGUAUAUACAAAUAAAUCAAAUUGACAUACAAAAUACCUGAUAUAAAUUAAAAUUUAUAUUAAGUGACCUGUAAUUCACUCAUAAAAAUUAGAGAAAUGUAACCUUUAAAAUUGCUACUUGUGAAAUAUACAUAUAGGUGUAGAUACAAGUGAUUUUGCAGUUCUUCCUUUUAAAUUGUUAUGCCUUAAUAUUUCCAGCCCAAGUGGUUUCCCUGCAGCUAUUUUAAGAAAAUAAACAUCAGUUUGAAUAUUAUUAAAACACCUGAUUGGUUCAUUGAAAUUAUUUGCUUUCUUUCUCUCUUUCUAAAUAUAGAGGAUUUUUUCCCCACUUUCUAUUCUAUGAUUUGGGCUAAAUUUUAAUGUUGACGUCUAAAGGUGUGGCUUUUGGGUAAAUCACUUAAUUUUUCUUUAGUUUUCUCAUUAUAAAAUGAUUGCUAGAUUACCUAGAGUUCUGUGAUUAUUGAUUUUUGUAUGUAUUUUUCACUAUCUGUUCGUGUCAAAUUGUAUAUAUUAACUAGCAAUAAUUAGUUCACUAUAGUCAACACCUGGCAUUUUUAUUAUAAAAAUUUGAGACUUUCCAAGUAUUCAUGAUAUAUAGUUUAAAAAAUUUCUUGGAGAGCAGAAGAUAAAGAAAAAAGAGUCUCAUGCAAUAUUUUAACAUUGUAAUUCAUUGCUGACUCUACAGGGCAAAGGAGAUCUUAACCCUUAGUCCAAUUUAAGGAUGAUGAAUUGAGGUUUUUUACCAACAAGGCAGAGGAUCAGAGAUGUCUUGCUUCAGGUAUAAAACUGCAAAUUGCAUUUAUAUUUAAAGUAAGCAAAUGCACUGCCUAGCAGAAAAUUAACCCUUGUAAAUGUCACAGUGUGCUUACUGUAUAAUUUAAGUGGUUUAAAUAAAGCUACUUAUUUGCAUAAUGAUGUUUUUGAAAGAUAUACCUUAAAAAUAACAAUACUAAGCAUUGAUUUGAAAUUAAAACAAAAAUAACAAGUGUAAAUUAGUCUGGAAAGGAUGUCAUGUCACUAUAUAAUUAGAUAUAUUAAUAAACGUGGGCUAUCACUAUCACAUAUGAAGCUAAAGUUAGCAUGGAAAUAUAUUUUAAGAUAAUAGAUCUGUAUUUUCUAUUGAACAUUUAUUUUAUUUUAUUUUGCAAGCAUUUAUAGAUUUUCAUCAAUUCGUUAACCUCUAUAAUAUGGAUAUGACUAUAUUAGACAGAUGCCUAAAAAUAAGUACUUCACUAGUAUUACUUAUCUAAAUUGAAGUCCAAAUUUGAUCACUGCCUGAAAUGAUUUGUAGGAAAUGUGGUGUGAAACAUAUCAGAGCACUAAGAGAAACACCAAAGAUAAGGAUUU